AUUGAACGCUGGCGGCAGGCCUAACACAUGCAAGUCGAAUGGUAACAGGAAACAGCUUGCUGUUUCGCUGACGAGUGGCGGACGGGUGAGUAAUGUCUGGGAAACUGCCUGAUGGAGGGGGAUAACUACUGGAAACGGUAGCUAAUACCGCAUAACGUCGCAAGACCAAAGAGGGGGACCUUCGCGCCUCUUGCCAUCAGAUGUGCCCAGAUGGGAUUAGCUAUUAGGUGGGGUAACGGCUCACCUAGGCGACGAUCCCUAGCUGGUCUGAGAGGAUGACCAGCCACACUGGAACUGAGACACGGUCCAGACUCCUACGGGAGGCAGCAGUGGGGAAUAUUGGACAAUGGGCUCAAUCCUGAUGCAGCCAUGCCGCGUGUAUGAAGAAGGCCUUCGGGUUGUAAAGUACUUUCAGCGGGGAGGAAGGGAGUAAAGUUAAUACCUUUGCUCAUUGACGUUACCCGCAGAAGAAGCACCGGCUAACUCCGUG
rnacentral:rRNA from 1 species